rnacentral:rRNA from 1 species
UUGCCUACGGGAGGCAGCAGUGGGGAAUAUUGCACAAUGGGGGAAACCCUGAUGCAGCAACGCCGCGUGAGUGAAGAAGUAUUUCGGUAUGUAAAGCUCUAUCAGCAGGGAAGAAGAAAGACGGUACCUGACUAAGAAGCCCCGGCUAACUACGUGCCAGCAGCCGCGGUAAUACGUAGGGGGCAAGCGUUAUCCGGAUUUACUGGGUGUAAAGGGCGAGUAGACGGCGUUGCAAGUCAGAUGUGAAAGGCUAGGGCUCAACCUUAGGAGAGCAUCUGAAACUGUAAUGCUAGAGUGCAGGAGAG